rnacentral:ncRNA from 1 species
UUCUAAAGACACAAUGUGAUUUAUUCCCAUUGCUCUGCAUGUCAAAGAGAAGAAAUUGAACCAAGCACAUGUAAACAGAAGGAGUAACUAUGACUCUCUUAAGGUAGCUAGAUGCCUCGUCAUCUAAUUAGUGACCCGCAUGAAUGGAUCAUUAAUGAUAUUCACCACUGUCCCUAGAUAUUAUAUUCUAGAUAAACCACAUCCAAGGGAAUGGGCUUGG